CCGAGUGGAGGGCGCUCCGGCGCCCGACCUCCCAACCCUUUGAUUUGAUCAAGACCUCUUCUGCCUCGGGGGCGACCCGGCCUUCGGGCCGCGGUCCUCCCGGUGGUCACCAACCAAAACUCUGCAUCAAUUGUCGUCUGAGUCACAAGUUAAUUCAAACA
rnacentral:misc_RNA from 1 species